AGUCGAGCGCACCUUCGGGUGAGCGGCGGACGGGUUAGUAACGCGUGGGAACAUACCCUUUGGUACGGAAUAGCCUCUGGAAACGGAGAGUAAUACCGUAUGAGCCCUUCGGGGGAAAGAUUUAUCGCCAAAGGAUUGGCCCGCGUUAGAUUAGGUAGUUGGUGGGGUAAUGGCCUACCAAGCCUACGAUCUAUAGCUGGUUUUAGAGGAUGAUCAGCAACACUGGGACUGAGACACGGCCCAGACUCCUACGGGAGGCAGCAGUGGGGAAUCUUGGACAAUGGGGGCAACCCUGAUCCAGCCAUGCCGCGUGAGUGAUGAAGGCCUUAGGGUCGUAAAGCUCUUUCGCCUGUGAAGAUAAUGACGGUAGCAGGUAAAGAAACCCCGGCUAACUCCGUGCCAGCAGCCGCGGUAAUACGGAGGGGGUUAGCGUUGUUCGGAAUUACUGGGCGUAAAGCGCACGUAGGCGGACUGGAAAGUUGGGGGUGAAAUCCCAGGGCUCAACCCUGGAACUGCCUCCAAAACUAUCAGUCUAGAGUUCGAGAGAGGUGAGUGGAAUUCCGAGUGUAGAGGUGAAAUUCGUAGAUAUUCGGAGGAACACCAGUGGCGAAGGCGGCUCACUGGCUCGAUACUGACGCUGAGGUGCGAAAGUGUGGGGAGCAAACAGGAUUAGAUACCCUGGUAGUCCACACCGUAAACGAUGAA
rnacentral:rRNA from 1 species